AGCCUUCUGUAUCCGUACUGAUAUUUCGUCACACACCAGACCACAAGGGCUGACGAGACUCCCAAGAUAAGUGAAGCU
rfam:Schistosoma mansoni, Puerto Rico, WGS project CABG01000000 data, contig: 0144